rnacentral:lncRNA from 1 species
GUUGGUAUCGGAGGGGUUAAUUUUUAAAAGAGUUUAGCGCAGCGGAUUAAAACACAGAGAGCGUAAAGCGUAAUAAGUCACAGUUGAAACGAAAUUAGCCUUUUUACCAAGCAGAUUACGUGCGUUAAAAAUAAAAUGAGUGUAGGGCAAAAGAAAAACACACAAGGAUUUUUAUACUGGUUCGAUUCAACAGAAUCUACGUCCAGUCGUUAAUCACUACAAAGAGUGAUUAACAGUUCCACUAAAAAGAGAUUUAACAGAUUACAAUAAAAGGUACAUAAAUAGAAUGAAGGAAACCACUAUACCAACUUGAAGAGAACCUGCACCAGUAAUCGACACACGAUUCACGUGCUUCUCCUUUCACAAGACCAGGUAGAGAGCCUUGCCAACUUGAAGAGAGUCCACUUCGACUAUCGGCACACGAUACGUAAGCCUCUCCUUUCACAAGACCAGGCAAGGGAACAAAGUAAACAAAAAGCUCUCAAGAACGUUCCUCUGAC